UUCCCGUUCGCCACAUCCAGAACCAACAGUUAAGUCUGCCAGAGUUAAGCUGGCACUUCAGAGGGUCUUUCUUUGGCCUGAUGCAUGGUGCUAUAGGCCUGGAGGAAAGUUAAGCAUUGUCAUGAAAACAUAUGCUGAAUGGUGUGUUUCAAUGUGUCAUUCUCUGUAGUACUGAAAAUUAUUAUAACUGCUAAUGAAACAAAGAGGAAGAAAUGUAGAUGCAAGACUUUCAUGUGAUUGUUUUUGUCAAAAUGAGCUAAAACACAUCAGGCUUAUACAAUAAAGUUUUCCAUAGUGAAUGGAGAACUGAGCAGGUUUGUCGUCCAUUUUGAGACCUUCCAUAAAAGUCUCUGUCACUUUUGCUUUAAUGUCCCCUUGCUUAAGUUUUUACAGCCUGAAGGUGAUGGUUUUGAUGAUAAUAAUAAUAAUCUCCACAAUACAUCACAGGAUCAAAGUUCAUAUGUAUCUAUUGUGCCAUAAA